rnacentral:rRNA from 1 species
GACGAACGCUGGCGGCGUGCUUAACACAUGCAAGUCGAACGAUAAAACCCGGCUUUGCUGCUCUGGUCUAGUGGCGAACGGGUGAGUAACACGUGAGUAACCUGCCCUUGACUCUGGGAUAACUUCAGGAAACUGUAGCUAAUACCGGAUAUGCGCUGCAAAGGCAUGUGUAUCGGUGGGAAAGUUCGGCGGUUGGGGAUGGGCUCGCGGCUUAUCAGCUUGUUGGUGGGGUAGCGGCUUACCAAGGCGACGACGGGUAGCCGGCCUGAGAGGGUGACCGGCCACAUUGGGACUGAGACACGGCCCAGACUCCUACGGGAGGCAGCAGUGGGGAAUAUUGCACAAUGGGCGCAAGCCUGAUGCAGCAACGCCGCGUGAGGGAUGACGGCCUUCGGGUUGUAAACCUCUUUUAGCAGGGAAGAAGCGAAAGUGACGGUACCUGCAGAAAAAGCGCCGGCUAACUACGUG